rnacentral:rRNA from 1 species
CAGUAGCCGCGGUAAUACGGAGGGUGCAAGCGUUAAUCGGAAUUACUGGGCGUAAAGCGUGCGUAGGCGGUUCGUUAAGUCUGUUGUGAAAGCCCCGGGCUCAACCUGGGAAUGGCUAUGGAUACUGGCGAGCUAGAGUGUGUCAGAGGAUGGUGGAAUUCCCGGUGUAGCGGUGAAAUGCGUAGAGGUCGGGAGGAACAUCAGUGGCGAAGGCGGCCAUCUGGGACAACACUGACGCUGAGGCACGAAAGCGUGGGGAGCAAACAGGAUUAGAUACCCCCGUAGUCCAUGUCUCUUAUAC